UGUACUGGUGUGCCUGCCUCAUUAAUAUGA
rnacentral:piRNA from 1 species